UAUGAGUGCUUCUACGGCGAAACUGCGAAUGGCUCAUUAAAUCAGUUACGGUCUAUUUGAUGACUUGUGACACGGAUAACUGGGGAAAUUCUUCAGCCAAUACGUGCUUCUAAGCCGACUUUGUGGAAGGUGAGUAUUUGCUCGAUUCUGAACCAACCCAGAUCUUCUGGGCUUUAAGUUGAGCGGAGAGUAAAUCUGUCCAAUCGCAUUGCACCGCGAUGCGAUGCAUCAUUCAAGUUUCUGACCUAUCAGCUUCCGAUUGUAGGGUAUUGGCUUACCAUGGCGAUGACGGGUAACAGCGAAUUUGGGUUCAGUUCUGGAGAGGGAGCCUGAGAAACGGCUACCACAUCUAAGGAAGGCAGCAGGCGCGUAACUUACCCAAUUCUGACACGGAGAGGUAGUGACAAGAAAUAACGAUACAGGGCAUUCAUGUCUUGUACUUGGGCUGAGUAGAAUGUAAACGACUCUAUGAGUAUCAAUUGGAGGGCAAGUCUGGUGCCAGCAGCCGCGGUAACUCCAGCUCCAAUAGCGUAUAUUGAAGUUGUUGUGGUUAAAAAGCUCGUCGUUGGAUUUCUGUUGAGGUCGAACAGUGCCGCCCUAUGGGUGCGCAACUGGCUCGGCUUCGGCAUCUUCUUGGAGAGCGUAUCUGCACUUAACUGUGUGGAUCGUACUUCAAGUCAGUUACUUUGAGGAAUUGUGAGUGUUUCAAGCAGGCUUACGCCGUUGAAUCCGUUAGCAUGGAAUAAUAGAAUAGGACCUCGGUUCUAUUUUGUUGGUUUUGAGAGCUGGGGCAGCGAUUGAUAGGGACGGAUGGGGGCGUCCGAACUUUACUGUCANNNUGAAAUUCUUNNAUCGGUCAAAGGCGAACUACUGCGAACGCAUUCGCCAA
rnacentral:rRNA from 1 species